GCCUUCUUCUGAUUCUGUGUCUCCCUCUCUCUCUGCCCCUCUCCCGUUCAUGCUCUGUCUCUCUCUGUCUCAAAAAUAAAAAUAAACGUUGAAAAAAAAAAGUUGAAAAGAACAAAGUGCCAUCAUCUGUGAUUAAUUCAAAGGUAACUAUUUCAGGGUCAUGUGACAUUAAUUGCCUUCCUUAUACAUUCAAGUAAAGAUGUGAUUAUAUAAGUUAAAAAAUUUUAUCUGUAUUAGAACGACACCAAUGUAAUUAUAACCUGAAACAUUUUCAUCACACAUAAGAAAAAGAUUAAUAUGAUUCCUAUAUUAAGCACACUCAAAAUCCAAGUAGCCAAUGGAGCAAUGGACAAAACCCAUGGCCACUGUAGCAAACAACUUACCUGAGACCCUGAGAAUUCCUGUCCCUUUGGUUUGCCUUUUUAGGGGAAGAAAGCAAACUCUGGUGCUGGCAGUUCAAAGAAAUCAAGACCAACAUCUUUUCCAGACAACUUGAGCUGGCAUCGGAAGAUCAGGACAAUCCAGAUUUUAACAUGAAUUUGAGCUAGCAUAGGAGAAAAUGCUUUGCGAGUCACAUUAGAAGUGAAAAGACAGUGAAAAGAAAUAGAAGAUCACUACUUAUGGGACAAAGGAAACAAGUGACACUGAGCCUGCUGUAAUUGACCUGGCAGUUCGCCACACUACAGCCCAGACAGUAAUCACUUGGACAGGAUAUCCCGCCUCUCCGGUUUGACUGACAGCACAAGUCCUGUUUUAAAAUCACUGUCAUGGGCUUUUUAUCAGUAAGUAACAUCCAUGUUGCCCCGCAUGCACACUGCAGAAGAUAGCUGUCUUUUUAAUGUGUCUUCUCCUUAGCAGAGGAAAGGGACUAAAAACAAUCGGUGCUUUAUCUCCUGUAAAGGCUCUUCAUGCCUGAAAGUGUUGUUGCAACCUAACACAGUCGUAGGAUUUUUUUUCAGAAGAGAGCCAUAUACGUACUCCAAAGGUCAGCUGAUCUCAAGUUAAAUAGGUCGGCUUCCCACAUGUUGUCACUCCCUCCUAGAUUCUGUCCAGAUUCAAUAUUUUUAGCUAUAGCGAAAUACAAAAACAUGGGCUCUUUCUGGAAAGCCCUGACUGCUGGAUGCCUUUUUACUCCAUACAGCUCACCACAUUUGAUGCCACUUUUUCAUUAAGACUUGUGAUUUUAGUGUGAGGUGCAGUGAUGGUUUUUAAGUUGUGUUGGCCCUGUGUAUUUAUGUAUUUCUGGCUUAGCGUUUUAAAAUCUAUUUUGCUGUUACUCAAUGAACUGCUAUGGAAGAAAUAUAUUAGUUUGUGAAGAUGACAAUAUUUAUAACAGUAUCUGAAGAAUACCGUAGGAGCUGCCCACUCGGUAUGAUGCAUUUUAUGAAGAAUAUCCACAAAUGUAGACAUAACCAAAACCAAAAGGCACACCCUGUAAUAAAUCACACAGCGAUCCUUGAUGAUGUGUUAUUUCACCGAUUACAUAAGUACUGCCUCCAAAUGUUAAACCAUUCCAUACAAUAUGUAGGUGACAAGGGCCACAGGAAAAGAAUGGUUGACACAGAGCUGGACAUUUCCCAUAGAGACAGAGCAAGAGAUGAGAAAAGACAAAGCAUUAAGGGCCGGGAGACUUAGAAAUAGGAAUGUGGAAAGAAUGGGAGAAGGCAUCUGUGUCAAACAUUCUGCCUUAUUCCAGGAAGCGUUCUGUUUGGCAGAAUACAGGUUCCCAGAAAGGGGAACAUGAAGAUAAAGGUACAAAGCUAAGGGGUCCCCGAUGGUUGGGGGCCUCGGAGGGGCUAGGGAAUGUGAACUUGAUCGCAUCCGUAUGGUGGAAAUGUAAUAAGACCCCAGAGUAGGCAAUUGUGGGUUUGAAUUGGGAGACAGUUCAAAGCAAUCCUAUGAGCAAGAGGGUAUGUGAGGAGGGGACACAUAUAAAAUAUCAUAUAGGUAAAAUUAAUACUCUUGGUGACUGGGUAUGAAGACAGAAUAUGUGGUGACACUCACUGGAAAUUUUGGGGUGUACUGAAUGAGGUGCUAGUGAGAUGUCAGAUUAUACUCUGUAGGCACUGAGGACAUAUGGAAUUGCAGAUAGGCUGGAAGGGAUAAUAGAGAAAGAAAUUUCCAUGUAUUGAUUGGCUACCAUGUGCCGGGUAGUUUGCUAUUUAAUAGUUUUAAAAGCUCCCCAGGUGAAUCUAAUGUACAGCCCGGGUUAGGAACUGCUGUAACCAAAUCCUUUAGUAUAAUUAGUUCAAGCAAUUACAGCUUGAAACUAGCCUCUUAAAACUUUUUUGGGAGAAUUAUGAGAAUUUUUUUUGAAGUAACUUUUUAGAAGCGAUGAAAUAGAAAAUAUAAUCGAUAGAAAACUCUGAAAAACCAACAGCAUGCAAUUUUCAUUGGCACACAACCAUGUGUUACUUAAACUUUGUGUAAGUGUAUAUAUGUGUCAUAUGUACAUAUAUAUGUACUAUGUAGAAUUUGGAGAAAAAAGAAUCAAUGCAGUUUUGCACAUUGCGUUACACUUUAGUUUUUUUUCUACAGAAACCAUGGGUUGCUGUAAUUGAAAAUAGGUUUCAAAAGGUGUUUUUUUUUAUAAUCCUUGCAUUUCCUUCAGAAGAACACUUAGACAUUACACAAUGAAUGAAUACAUCUUUAAUGUAAAUGAUAGGGCAUAUCCAAUGUCAUCUACUGUAGGGCAAGAAUUCUGGCAUUAUUUUAAAUAAUGUGACUUUUUCUUAGAAUUAGUUAACAUUUUUCAGCAAAAAAGUACUUUCUUACAUGUCACAGUUGAAGUUCUAGAAACAUAAGUCAUAUUUCAAUUAAUUUUGCAUCACGUAGAAAGUCUCCAAAUCACACCAGUUCUGAGAAUAUGAUUAACGAACAUGAAGACUUCUACAAAGGGCAAUUCGAAACCAACUUCUGAUUGUCAAGGACCGAGCAGAGCUUAACGCUGGCCCUGACUUCUUCUUCUUAGGCAGCAGAGAGCUUCACUGUCAAGGCCUGAUGAUGAGGCCUACAUAAAGGAAUUUGCCAGCAUCGUGGCGUCCGUGCACUGGGUUACAUGAGGAAACUGGGACUGGAGAUUUAAGAGAAUCACCCAAGGAUGUGACUAAUAAGUGGCAGCUUAUGCCAACCUGGAAGGCAGCUAUGCCAACCAUUAUCCCACCAAUGCUGAGACUUUUCACCCGGAAUCACUGGCUCCAAAUUCUUUGCCUUUCCCAUGAGGCCACGCCGUUCUGUGAUAGUGUGCAUAAUUUCACCAUGGCUCCGAGUACUGUCCUAAGCCAGUGAGCCAUGGUUCUCUGAAUCUAGCUCCGCUCUGUCUGCCCAGGCUGACCUGAGCACCUAGCUGCCCACCGGAAACGUGCACGCAGCACUCCUCUGGCAGGUGAGUGAAGAUCUGUGUCCAUUUCACCCCAAGUCACUUCCCAGCAGAUUGUUCUUGUACUUUCUGAUUUCUGUCUGGGUUGUCUGGGUCAUCAUUCUACAAAUUUUAAAGAACUCAGCAGAAUGCAUGAAAAUUAAGACCCAUCGCAGUAUACUACCUUUAUAGUUUUCCAUUGUGAUAUCUGUGUUCUGCUUUUCAGGGUGGGAUUUGUAGAGAGUAAAGGUGAAAGAGAGCAUUUGGAGUGUAUAUCCAUGCAUUUUUAUUUUUAUUUAAAAGAAUUUUUAACAUUUAUUUAUUUUGAGAGAGAGAGAGAGCAAGGGCACGAGUGGAGGAGGGGCAGAGAGAAGGGGAAACACAGAAUCCAGAGCAGGUC